rnacentral:lncRNA from 1 species
UCCUUGGGGACACAGAUUGUUUCCCUUUUGUCUGUAUCCCCAGGACUUUUAGUAAGCAAGAAGCCAAUGCUAGGGGGUGCACUGGAUAGAAUGCUGAGCCUGGAGUCAGGAAGACUCCUCUUCCUAAGUUCAAAUCUGACCUCAGACACUUACUAGCUCUGUGAUCCUGGGCAAGCCAUUUAAUCCUGUUGGCCUCAGUUUCUUCAUGCACGAAAUGAGCCUGAGAAAGAAAUGGGAAACCAUUCUAGUAUCUUUGCUAAGAAAACCCCAAAUGAGGGUGGCAAAGUCAGACUCAACUGAGAACAACUGAAUGACAAACUUUUGUUUAAAGAUUGAAUCUACUUACUAUUAUUGCCUCCCUCUUAUUUCCUCACUGAGUAAAAUGGAUUUCUGCUGUGUAUUUUUCCUUUUUUUGACUUGAUGAAUCCAGAUAAGAUUCAAAUGAGGCAACUUUUGAAUACCUGUUUAACCUGGGAACUCUACCUUGGAAAGCAGUUAGUCCAGACAUGUGAUUUGCAUCAUUAUGGGACACUUUGGGUGUAUAGUCUUCCUGUGAUUAUAUAAUUGGAGUAGGAUGGAUGGAAAGAGUCAUUGAAGUUGUGGCAAGAAAGAAGUCAGGAUGCCUGGUGCUAGCCCCGAAUAUAGUGGAUGGCCUUGAAGACUUUGAUAUCUAACCAAGAUCUAAGAGCCCCAAAGCACCUGCCAUUGGAACCUGCCAUUGUGUCUUCCCAUGUUUAGGGUAGACAUCCCCCUAAUUCACUGAUGCCCACAGGCUUGAGACCUAUAUCCUCAACCUGGUUUGGCCUCUUUGCAGAGACAGUUUGAGGGUAACCAAUACAGAUAGUAGGAGCAUGAACUAUGAAUUUCCUCUGUGUCUUCUGAUCCCAAAUCCAGUCCUCUUUCUCCUUCGUUAGUAUUGUACCUCUUCUAACUCAUCCCCAAUAUCUAACCCUUUGGCAAGUCUUAUCAAUUUCUACUUUUUUAUUGUCUCCUUUUUAUUCAGAAAGCCGCCAUCCUAGUUUGGGUUCUUACCACUUCUCUCCUGACUUAAAACUAUUGUUGAGCCUUCUAAUUUGCCUCUCAACAACAUUUCAUCUCUCUCUUUUCCAUUCUACCCCCCCCCCACACACACACAC